GACAGAGGUGCCGAGCGUUAGGCGGAAUCACUGGGCUUAAAGCGUGUGUAGGCGGACUUCUAAGUACCUUGUGAAAUCCCACGGCUCAACCGUGGAACUGCUUGGUAUACUGGUCGUCUUGAGCCAUCUAGGGGCUGUCGGAACAAAUGGUGGAGCGGUGAAAUGCGUAGAUAUCAUGUGGAACGCCAAAGGUGAAAACAGACAGCUGGGGAUGUGCUGACGCUGAGACACGAAAGCCAGGGGAGCGAACGGG
rnacentral:rRNA from 1 species